rnacentral:lncRNA from 1 species
GUGUCUUCCGUCCGCAGGAAGAACCCAGGCCUGGGUGAUUCAUCGGGGCCUCAGGGCCGGGAGGCACUAAAUCUUCUGCAGAUGUGGUGGUGUGGGCUGUGUGGAUUUCGGAUGUGGGCCCAUAACAUAGCCACACUGCUGCAAAGCAAGUGAGUCUGAGGCAAGAAGAAGGCCCAACCUUGGGAGGCUGACCUGGAGGGCAGGCAGAGGCAGGUGGUAAGGACCUGCCUUACCUGUUGAGGUGACAGUGGGGGACAUAUUGCAAGGAAGGAGGCCCUGGAUCCUCAGGAUGUGGAUGGUGGGUAGAAGGGUGACAGCUAAUGGAUGUCCACCUGCACAGAUGCCCACCUGCAUGAGUGCCCACCUGCAUGAGUGCCCACUUGUACCAAUGUCCACCUGUACAGAUGUCCACAUGCAAAUGCCCAUCUGCACUGAUAUCCACCUGCACAGAUGCCUACCUGCAUGAAUACCCACUUGCCUGAAAGCCCACCUGCACCCAUGUCCACUGGCACAAAUGCCCACCUGCACCCGUGUCCACUGGCACAAAUGCCCACCUGCACAGAAGCCCACCCACACAAAUGCCCACCUGCAAAAAUGUCCGCCUGCACAGAUGUCCACCUGCAUGAAUGCCCACCUGUGUCCACAUGCACGAAUACCCACCUGCACAGAUGCCCACCUGCACGGAUGCCCACCUGUACAAAGGCCUACCUGCGUGAAUGUCCACCUGCAUGGAUGCCCACCCGCACGGAUGCCCACCUGCACAGUUAUCCAUCUGAACAGCCCUCUGGUGCCUCCUUUUGCUUGCACAUGUUCAAAUCCUCCCAGUCCUACAGUCGAUUGUUCCUAGUUGGGGUCAUUCUGGGCAUGUUAUUCUAAAACUUGUUUUUUCCCGUCUCCACAUCAAAGGAGAAAGGUCUAGCUUGCUUCUUUGCUAUAGAGCAGGGCCUGAGUGAGGUCAGGACCACAGAGCAGACCCUAUGAGUGUUGGUCAGGACACAGAGCAGGACCCCUUCAGGGUCUGGAAGAGGGUUCCCCAAGCUCCUGUUCAACCUGAGUGAGAGGCUCAGGCUGCCCCCAACACACUGCACAGAAAAAUGGGCCAUUGAUUCAGAGCCACCCACGCUAACAGCAGUUCAGCUGCAGCCCUCCGGCAGGCAGGUCCUGGGAACACUAGGAACCUGAGACCCUGUCCCUUCCUGAUAGCGGGGUGUGGUGACAUGAGGAGAGACUGGGUACCUCCAUUCUGCUCAUGAAAGUCACAGAGGGGACCGGGGACCCCAGGCCCCUAGCGAUACCAGCACCCCACACAAUGCCUUUCUGGGAUACACCCCCCCAACAUGGCCUGCCCAAGGCAUCAGGAGCUGUGUAGAGGAGUCAGCUGGGGGUGGCAGAGCCCCAGGGAACAAUCAUGGGUCGCUGGCAGAUAAGCCAUGCGCCCACACAGCACAGGCCCUCACCCCUGCAGCUGGGGGAGCCCUCCUUGGGAGCGGGCCCAGGAUCCGGGCAAAAUGACACAGACCGGAUCCAGGAGCAGACUGAGCAAAAGUGGCAAAAGUAUUCUCCAGGUUAAGGGAAUAUUUUCACCAAUUGAGAGACCAGCUGUCCCUCCAGACCCAAGGGUUCCACAUCCCUGGAGGCAACCAAGCCAGAUGCAAAAUAUUUGAAAAAGAAAAAUGAAAAAAAGAACAAUACAGCAAUAAAAAAGAACACAAAUAAAAAAUACAGUAUAGCUA